rnacentral:rRNA from 1 species
UUUUUUUUUUUUUUUUUUUUUAUACUAAAUUUUUUUUCUUGUCUUUCCAUUUUUUUUAUUGAUUAAUUUUAAUUUAGUUUAUUGUACUGUAAGGGUUAAUUAAAAUUUAUUUUGGAACAUUAAUUUUUUUUAGUACCUUUUGUAUCAGGGUCAAUUAAUAUUUUUGAUUUAUUUUUUUUUCCCGAAGUGAAAAGAUCUACAAUUGGGGUUUGUAUUUUGUUGUUGAAUAAUCAUUUAAAAAUCUUUUGUAGUUUUGAAAUGAAAUACGUUUUUUUGGAUAUCUGGUUUUCUGGGAAAUUGAUUCAAUCAAGAAUUUCUUUUUGUUUAUUUAUUUUUUUUUUUCUUUUUGGAAUUUAAGAAUGAGGGGGAUAAGCUCUUUAUUUUUUUUUAUAAUUUAUUUAUUUUAUUUUUUUUGUUGGAUUAAUGUCUUUUAUCAUUUUAAGUUCGUUGAAGAUUAAUUAUGUAUUUUAUUUUUUAUUUAUUUUAUUACUGGGAUUUAAAUUUUAAUUAUUUUUUUUUUAAUAAUGAUUGAAUUAGUAGAUUUAAAAAUAUUUAAUAUGAAUUAGGCAAAUUUAAUUUUCGCCUGUUUAUCAAAAACAUGUCCUCUAGGUUUUAUUGGAGGUUGGGCCUGCUCAAUGAUUUUAAAUAGCCGCAGUAAUUUGACUGUGCUAAGGUAGCAUAAUAAUUAGUCUCUUAAUUGGGGUCUAGAAUGAAUGGUUUGACGAGAAAUUUACUUUAUUUUAUUUAUUUUUUUUGAAUUUUAUUUAUUAGUUAAAAAGCUAAUUUGAUGAAGGGGGACGAUAAGACCCUAUAGAUCUUUACUUUUUUGUUUUUGAUUUUUUUUUAGGUUAUUUUUAUUUUUUAUAAUAAAUAAGUUUAGUUGGGGCGACGUAUAAAAUUUUAAACUUUAUUUUUUAUUUUCAUUUAUUUAUGUUUUUAUGAUCCUUUUUUUAGAUUAUAAGAUUAAGAUACCUUAGGGAUAACAGCGUUAUAAAUUUGGAGAGUUCUAAUCGAUAGAUUUGUUUGCGACCUCGAUGUUGGAUUAAAAGUUUUCUGUGGGGUAGGUUUUACAGUUAAGGGUCUGUUCGACCUUUAAAAUUUUACAUGAUCUGAGUUCAAGCCGGCGUGAGCCAGGUUGGUUUCUAUCUUCUUUAUAUUUAUUCUAAUUGGUACGAAAGGAUUUUUAGAAAUAUAAUAAUUUUAUUUACUAGUUUGGCAGAU